rnacentral:rRNA from 1 species
AUUGAACGCUGGCGGAAGGCAUAACACAUGCAAGUCGAGCGGAGCGGCGGACGGGUGAGUAAGGCCUAGGAAUCUGCCUGGUAGUGGGGGAGAACGUCCGGAAACGGGCGCUAAUACCGCAUGCGAUCAGAUGAGCCUAGGUCGGCUUAGCUAGUAGGUGGGGUAAAGGCCUACAAAGGGGACGAUCCGUAACUGGUCUGAGAGGAUGAUGAGGCACCAUUGAACUGAGACACGGUCCAGACGCCUACGUGAGUCAGCAGUGGGUAAUAGUGGACAAUGGGCGAAAGCCGGAUCCAGCCAUGCCGCGUGUGUGAAGAAGGUCUUCGGAUUGUAAAGCACUUUAAGUUGGGAGGCGUUCCCAACAGAAUAAGCACCGGCUAACUUCGUGCCAGCAGCCGCGGUAAUUC